rnacentral:lncRNA from 1 species
ACACUUCAGCGGCGACACUCAUAGCUAACAGCGCUCGCUGCUGCGUCGUAUUCACUGGCACAGCCAAUCUAACCGCAGUCACCGCUAGUGCUCCGGAUCUGUGGCAGCUUUACGACCCCACCCAGCUCUGGGGCUCCGCCUUCUGGCCCGGGUCUGAGCCCUACCCCACGGCUGGCAAUCUGAAGCUCCAUCGGCAGCAGCAGCAGCGCUGUUGACGACUGUUCCUGCCGCUGCCACUUGGAGAGUGGCUCGCUCAUCAGUGACUUCGCGAUUCGGAAGCUCCAAAAGAAGUGAGUGAGCCGGCUCUUUGCGAUAGCAUGAUCCAAUAAAGUCCGCUUUCACGCCGUUAUCAUGACAACGAAAGCUCUUAACAAAUCUUGCAGACCUCGUUUUAGCCAUUAAUAUCGCUGCCUGUUCACUACAUACAGUCACCGCUUCAUUUCCAACCAAUGGCCAAUAACGCAGAACUUCUGUUUACGCUAGCGCACACGUAGCGUACAUCAUCAAAGUAUACAUUGUAGCAUCGUAGUACUAUAGCAUUACUCUUCCCUCCCGCUUUUCCCGCGGCCGCUUCCACUCUUCCGGCCGUUGCUGCGUUCUGUUCAACCUGUUGUGGCCUGUGGUCAAUGCCGUACAUGUUCCCAUAGACACAGCUUCACCUACAAACUCAUACGGCCAUAUAACCAUUACGACUAUUACACCAUAGCACUGUCAACAACAGCAGCAGCAGCAGCAGCAGCAGCUACUUCACAGCGAAGGCGUGGCCUCUUCGUGACCACCGAUGGCAUCGUCAUCGAACGAGCGUCACAAACCGAGCGCUUGAACCAGCGUCGGCGGCGAUGGCUGCCGCGGUUGCCGUAGACCGAUCGCUGAUCGCGUUGUGUUUCUAUGCUACUGACGAUUGCCUGCGAGCGCCGCCGAUGAACGCGAGGCGUUGGCGGCGCUCAACUCCCUCUCCACCGACCCUCGCCGCUUAGCGCGGCAGGCACGCCGGCCAGGAUCGCUGCACCACCGUCGGGUAGCCCCAUCGCAUCGGUUAGACUGAGGCAGCUUUGCUUCUGAAGCAUCUUGCUGACGACGACGCUCGCGACAACGACGACGAAUUGCUGCUGGCAGUUUGGUUCUCUUAGCGCUGUCGUUGCUGACUAUGGUGAAGGAGACGGUGAUGUGAUACGCGCUACGACACGACGAUUCGCGCGUGUACUUGUUUAAUUGUUGGUCUUUCGUUCAGCUCAACGAUCCAACAAAUGGUGGAAAUUUCUCAGGAAUACGAUACGUUUGUCAGGUUAACACGAUCAAGAGCCGUCAGUAGUAGAUAUCUGGCGAGAGUAAAGCGUUCUGUUCGAAAAAUCAACAGGUUUAACUAAAUAUUCGUUCGUAGAGAAAGCAUCAGCCAUUCAAAUGCACUAUUGAAGAAUUGCCCCAUCAGUAAUGUGAAGUUCCUUUAUGUGAUCUGUGUCAUCAAGUUAACAUUUUUGCUACCUGGAACCUGUCCAUCACCUUAAAGGAACAAACUGGCUUUAGAGGAACGUGACAAACCCUUAUCGCGAAGGCUUGCACCAUGUAAGCAAAGUGCUGAAUUCACUAGCUUUCAAUGUACCUCGUGCUGUAGUGGCUUUAUCGAGCUGCUAACAGAACGCGCUUAAGAACCGUGAAUGAAACGAAGUUCUAAUACCAUCUGACUUAAUCAGCUAGCGACCGGUUCGAAGAUCUUGUCGUUAAAGAUCACACUUGAAAGAAAGAAUGAGCAACGUCGUUUUGGAGUAGUAAUACAGGAGUCGUAGGGUCCGACGGGGUUGUUUUUGUUCUGUUGUAACCAUCGACGAACCGCGAUAGAAAAGUCAGCGAUCAUCAAUUUCAGACACUUCUGCAGCAGUGAGGAGCACUUCUAUGAGCCCGUACACUAUACUCGACCGCACGCCAUACGUCCUGCGCGAAGAUCAGGUGGUCGCUUCACUUGAUAUUCGUCUAUUUUUUUUUGGUCCAACUAAGGUAACAACAAGGAUAGCGUCAGCAGUCGGUCGGCGACGUAACCGCUCGCCCGACGACUUCUCGAAGGGGCACAGGCAAACAAUGAAACCUAUUGCCUUCCGCUGGUACGGCGGCCUCAGCGAGUCCUCGCUUUUCACAGAGUCGCUGUGAGCCCCCCAGACGGUUAGCCGGCGCCUAUUCGGUUGUGUUGCGUAUCGUGGACAUCGAUCUCCUGGCCUGUCUCCUCCGUACACCCGUGUGAGACGUGUUUACUGCCGGUCAAUAAAGAAUAACGCAUCGCCAUCAACAAUCGGCGGUCUUCGACCGGAGUAAAUAGCAGUGAUAGUAGCAACAGUAUCGAACGCCCAGCGAGGAAUACGAUUAACGUUUGCGCGGAGUAAAGUUACCCGCGCGUCUAGAUCGUCUGUGUAAAUUUUGGCGACACUGUCCGCUCGUGUGCUUCAUUUUCGGUGGUGAAGUAAUCCAAAAGUGUGGUGUCCUGAAGUUGUGAUAUCGUAGAUGUGCUGGUGGUAGUUAUGAAAAGAAGCAAAGAAUUUCGUGUGAGAAGUGUCUCGCUUGGAUUCGAAGUUUACGAAUAAUCAAAGAAAUUACAAUUUCUUCAAACUACAAUAUGCUGUGGGUAGUCUUCAUUGGCUGGACGACUUAACGAGAGAAAAUAGGGAGGACAAACACAAAUAAAAAGAAAUUUCGCAGACGAUCACAACGGUGAAAAGUGUGCUGACGUUCCUGCCACGACCGCGUGCGGUUUACCCUGCGCAGUCUGCGAUCCGUGCUGACGUCGGAUUCAUUGAAGCCAACUGAUAGUGCUAGUGGAUUCUACUCUAACGGCUCAUUGCAUUUCGGAUUGACUUCGUUCAUCCAAAGUGCUUACACGUGUGAUACGUGAAAGGCUGCAUUGCCGUACCCUGCUUGAUUACGCACGCAGUACUGGAGAAAAAACACAUAGCGAUUUCGGAUGAUUUUCGAAGUUCUUCCUCAUCGCCUACUCCGCACUAAACAAAGCCUAAAAUAAAAUCGGGUAGCGCUAUUCGCUCCCAGCAACGCAUUUCCUGCCGCGAAAACGGAUCCCGGUUUCUCCACCCUUUGAAAACUGUGAACUGUGGAGGAGUGUACUGAUCAAUCGCCAGGAUUGAGGUGGGCGAGUUGUGUGUUGUGCCGGUGGAAACGCUCGGCGGAUGCUCACCGGGUCGCUCCAAGACCCCCCGAGACUCAGAUGGUGCAGAGAAGCCCCGGCGGCGAGCUGACCCACCCCGACCGCCGGCGCGCAUGGACCAACCGCCACAACAUCAAACGCGUCCUCGGGAACCACCUCGGCACAAUCGAGAACAACUCUUCCUGCAAUGCAGUGUUGCAAAGGCGCUUCCGAACACUUUGCAAUCGAUGGAGAAACGCAGAAACGUACACAAUAGCGAAGGUCGUCGAACAACGAAGACGCCACCGCUGGCACUGACGCUGCGCGCUUCCGACACCCCCGCCCACGACGCAUUUAGGGUAGAGUAGUAAGUAGUUGUCGUUUUUGAUGUACGCCAUGCGACUGGCUUGGAACAGUACACUUUGCGCGGUCCGUUUAAAAAUACACUGUUGGCCUAAUCAUAAUGGUGGCGAUAAGAUCAAGGUUCAUUCAUUGACAAGGACGGCAAAAAUCAGCACUUAUAUCGGACCAUAACUGGAUCCAGACGAAUAGAGAAUAUCAUCCAGGCCUCACGAGAAUGAACUGAGCCGUUUGCUCCUCCGUGGAGGAUCAUACAAUGACACAAACUAGCGGGUUGUGCACAACAACAUCGGUGCCGUUACCAAUAACAAUGCAGGCACGCGAAUCACGCGGGGGUGUCCGUCACGAUGCCGGAUUUGGGCUUGUUGUGCAGUGUAGUGGGGGUGUUGCGAAAACGACCCGAAAGAAGCAAAAAAUGUUAGAGGACAAUACGAAAUAAUAAUGCAAUUCAACAAUUACAUCAACAAUGAAUGAGCGGUUUUCUGGCAGAGCGCUUCUGCUAGUCCUCGUCGUCAUUUCGCUUAUGGUACGCUUAUACAUGAUAUCUCCUCAUUGGCAUUGUCGUCGUCAUCAUCCAGCCUUAGAAAUCUCGUAGAAGAGGCUCCUUCGACUGCUUCUAUUGAGGUAUCGAAUACAACACAACGCAAUAUAGCCGCAUGGAUCACCUAGCACUCGCUUUAAAUCUCUCCUUCUUCUUUUUAGCCACUGCCUAUCCACCGACGACUCGUCUAACGGUACUCAGUGAAGUUUCCCUCAGACCCUCAUGAUUUCUUCGGUAGGCCUAUGUAGCGUUUUAGUAAAUGCAGCAACAACGAGUCCAACAUGACCGGUGAAGAUCAUGUCAGCGAACAGUCGUGGUUAAGUGGCGAGGACCAAGCCAUAAAACCAGAAGCACUAGUUUCUCUGUUUAAUAAAAAGGCAAAGAUGAGGUCGGUGCACCUCACCUCUACCUCAAUACCGUGUAUUCCUAACAAAGCAGCGACCUCAAGGUAGAUUGAAGUAUGAACUCGCUUUUUAAGGACAGCACAGAGUUCUUCCUUUCUAUAGCUUUUUGUCGAUGUAUGCACCGGCAAUGAUCUUCUCAAAGGCCACCUCUUAGCCAGUGCGUGGUGGCUCAGUUGGUUUGGGCUAGGCUGCCGGGCGCGUGCAUUUCCCUCUGUUCACUGUUCCGGACGCACAAAGGACUUCCGUCGGCCUUCGGCAAUCCGCCGAAAGUGGAGGCGGAGUGGGAGUUCGCAGUAGUAGCUUCGUGAAGGCGAAGCUCUAGAGCGCCGGUGCUCAGUGGCAACAACAACCACAGCGAUAACGAUAGCGACAACAGCAAAGAUGGUGCCACAAGCACAUUAACCAUAAAGGCUUAACCUGUAUAAUGAUGCUGAGCCGUUAAAUAACCUUGGUCGUGUUCGUGGAACAAAUAAGCAAAUCGCUGACGGUGGUACCGAAAGUAAUACUAUUCGAGGGACAGAUAAAGAGAAAAAGUAUCUCACUUUAGAGAGUCUUAACUGCGAAGCUUGGAGAAGGUCGACGAAUAGGUGACUUGCAUAGAGUUCCUCUAUUCAACAGAGUGGUACACGCGGAAUUGCUCGAGUUAUCAUUGUUCGUGACUAGGCGGAGCAAUGGCGGAAGAAGGAUCAGAUCUCGGGUCGAACAUUGCUGGCGAAGAUACCUAUUAUGAUUUCAUUGCAAACGCUGCAAUUUAUCAGAUUCGAUUGACUGUUGAUCGUAACGAAACUUCCGCUUUCCUCCUGGUCGUCUGCGACCGAAAUAGGCAGAACAGUUGUUGAAAUUCUCGGACCUUCUCCCCCAAAUGCGAAUGUAUACUGUCUGCUCGUCAUUUACAGGAUUGAAGCAGCAGGUAGA